AGUGAACGCUGGCGGUAGGCCUAACACAUGCAAGUCGAACCGCAGCACAGUAAGAGCUUGCUCUUACGGGUGGCGAGUGGCGGACGGGUGAGGAAUACAUCGGAAUCUACUUUUUCGUGGGGGAUAACGUAGGGAAACUUACGCUAAUACCGCAUACGACCUACGGGUGAAAGCAGGGGAUCUUCGGACCUUGCGCGAUUGAAUGAGCCGAUGUCGGAUUAGCUAGUUGGCGGGGUAAAGGCCCACCAAGGCGACGAUCCGUAGCUGGUCUGAGAGGAUGAUCAGCCACACUGGAACUGAGACACGGUCCAGACUCCUACGGGAGGCAGCAGUGGGGAAUAUUGGACAAUGGGCGCAAGCCUGAUCCAGCCAUACCGCGUGGGUGAAGAAGGCCUUCGGGUUGCAAAGCCCUUUUGUUGGGAAAGAAAAGCAGCAGGUUAAUACCCCGCUGUUCUGACGGUACCCAAAGAAUAAGCACCGGCUAACUUCGUG
rnacentral:rRNA from 1 species